CCGGGUUUACAACUCCCAAACCCCUGUGAACAUACCUAUACGUUGCCUCGGCGGAUCAGCCCGCGCCCCGUAAAAAGGGACGGCCCGCCCGAGGACCCCUAACUCUGUUUUUAGUGGAACUUCUGAGUAAAACAAACAAAUAAAUCA
rnacentral:misc_RNA from 1 species